CUCACAACGCCUUGCUUAACCACACCCCCACGGGAGACAGCAGUAACAAAAAUUAAGCCAUAAACGAAAGUUUGACUAAGCCAUAUUGACCAGGGUUGGUAAAUCUCGUGCCAGCCACCGCGGUCAUACGAUUGACCCAAGCUAACAGGAGUACGGCGUAAAGCGUGUUAAAGCAUCAUACUAAAUAGAGUUAAAUUUUAAUUAAACUGUAAAAAGCCAUAAUUAUAACAAAAAUAAAUGACGAAAGUAACCCUACAAUAGCUGAUACACCAUAGCUAAGACCCAAACUGGGAUUAGAUACCCCACUAUGCUUAGCCCUAAACACAAAUAAUUAUAAAAACAAAAUUAUUCGCCAGAGUACUACCGGCAACAGCCCGAAACUCAAAGGACUUGGCGGUGCUUUAUACCCUUCUAGAGGAGCCUGUUCUAUAAUCGAUAAACCCCGAUAAACCUCACCAAUCCUUGCUAAUACAGUCUAUAUACCGCCAUCUUCAGCAAACCCUAAAAAAGGGACAAAAGUAAGCUCAAUAAUAACACAUAAAGACGUUAGGUCAAGGUGUAACCUAUGGAGUGGGAAGAAAUGGGCUACAUUUUCUACCCAAGAAAAUUUAAUACGAAAGCCAUUAUGAAAUUAAUAGCCAAAGGAGGAUUUAGCAGUAAACUAAGAAUAGAGUGCUUAGUUGAAUCAGGCCAUGAAGCACGCACACACCGCCCGU
rnacentral:rRNA from 1 species